GGAGAGAGUUUUGCACUACGAAAAAACCAUAUGCAAAUUGCCUGGGAAGAGCUUAGAUUCUGUGGCCAAACUGCAAGCGGCCGUUGCUAAAAUGGGAAGCAUUUACAGGAAAAAGCAAACGGUUUCAUCGAGGUGGAUUCGACGACAAACUAAGUGAAACGAUCGCGGGAGUCGACGUGGAGACAGAUAAGCUCUGACCAGACACUUAGUACUUCAUCACUAGUCCCUGGCUGCUGCUCUGUGGAUAACAGCAGCUCAUGUAAGCCAACUUCACAAAACCAGGGGCCGUCCACCUCCUUCACGCAGGCAUGAGGAGGCUUCAGAGGCCGAGUCCGAAGUGGCCAAGCACAACUUCCAGGAGUAAGAGGGGCAUUUCAUAAUGACUAGGGGUCAAUUCUCCAGAAAGACAUAGCAGUCAUUAAUAUGCAGGGACCUAACAACAGAGCCUCAAAAUAUGGAAUCCAUCAAAGGAGAGAACUGCAGGAAAAACCAGACAGAUCCACUGUUAUAGUUGCAUAGCUCAAAACCUAUCUACUAGUAAUUGAUGGACUCAGGACAUAGCUGAGCUGAAGGGCAUCGCCAAUCAGCUGGACCUGUUGAUAUGUAUAGACUACUUCAUCCAACGAGUGCAAAUAUACACUCUUCUCAAACUCAGAUGAAAUAUUCACCAAGAUAGACCAUGUUCUGGGGCAUAAAACACACUUCUAACAAAUUUGAAAGAGUAAAAAUUUUACAAAGUAUACUCACAUCACAAUGGAAUUAAACUGGAAAUCACUAACAGAAAGACAGCUGGAAAGCCACCAAAUAUUUGGUUAUUAGACAACAUGGUCCCAAAUAACACAUGGGCCAAAGAAGUCUCAAGAGAAAUGUUAAAAAAUAUUUUGAACUAAAUGAAAAUGAAAAUAUGACUCAUCAAAAUUUGUAGGUUGCAGCAAACCCACAUUUGGUCAUUAGACAACAUACUUCCAAAUAACACAUGGGUCAAAGAAGUCUCAAGAUAAAUUUUAAAAAAUAUUUUGAACUAAAUGAAAAUGAAAAUAUGGCUUAUCAAAAUGUAUGGGAUGCAGCAAAAGCAGUGCUAGAGGAAAAUUUAUAGUAUUAAAUGAAUAUAUUAGAAAAGAAAGAUGUAAAAUUAAAAAUCUAAGCUUCCACCUUAGGAAACUAGAGAAAGAAGAAUUACAUAAACCUAAAACAGAAGAAAAAAAUUAGAAAAAAAAUGGAUGACAUUAAAAAGAGGAAAAUUAUAGAGAAAAUCAAAACAUAAAAGCUGAAACCAAAAGCUAAAUCUUUGAAACAAUAAGUAAAAUUGAUAAACUUCUGGACUGGCUAGCCAAGAAAAAGAGAAAACACAAAUUACUAAUAUCAGAAAUAAAAAAGUUUAUCUCUACUAAUCCCAUAGACAUUAAAAGUCUAAUAGAGUUUCUAUGAUAGCCAUGUAAGAAGAAAAAAGUCGGCCGGGUGUGGUGGCUCACGCCUGUAAUCCCAGCACUUUGGGAAGCCAAGGUGGGCAAAUCACAAGGUCAGGAGAUCGAGACCAUCCUGACCAACAUGGUGAAACCCCAUCUCUACUAAAAAUACAAAAAUUAGCUGGGUGUGGUGGCAUGCACCUGUAGUCCCAGCUACUGUGGAGGCUGAGGCAGGAGAAUCGCUUGAACCCAGGAGGCAGAGGUUGCAGUGAGCCAAGAUUGCGCCACUGCAUUCCAGUCUGGUGACAGAGCGAGACUCCACCUCAAAAAAAAAAAAAAUUUUUUUAUGCCCACAAAUUUGAUAACUUAGAUGAAAUGGACCAAUUCCUUGAGAGAGACAAUCUACCAAAACUCACCAAAAGAGAAAGAUAAUCUUAAUAGACCUAUAUCUACUUUUAAAAUUGAAUCAAUAAUCAAUAAUCUUCCAAAAAAAGAAAGCAUCAAGCCCAAGUGUUUUCACUGGUGAAUUCUAAGAACUAAUACCACUUCUCUACAAUCUCUUCCAGAAAAUAGAAGCGGAGGGAAUAUUUCCUUAUUUCUAUGAAACCAGCAUUAUUCUAAUACAGAAACAAAAGAUACUACAAGAGGGGAAAACUACAGACCAAUAUAUCUACCAUGUACAAAAUGUAUCUUUUUUGUAUCUUUUGUACUGGAGAUAUAAAAAUUCUCGACAACAUAUUAGCACGUGAAAUCUGCUAUGGUUUGAAUGUUACUGUCCAAAAUUCAUGUUGAAAUGUCCAGUGCAAGAGUAUUAAGAGGUGGGGGUUUUGCAGCCUUCAGCAUUGUUCCAUUCUGCCCCUUCAGCCAUCUAAGGACACAGUGUUCUUCCCCUCUGAAGGAUGAGGCAAUAAAACGCCAUCUUGGAAGCUGAGAGUAGCCCUCACCAGAAAACUGAAUCUGCCGGUGCCUUGAUCUUGGACUACCUAGCUCCAGAGCUGUGAACACAUUUCUGUUCUUUUAAAUUACCCAGUCUCAAGUAUUUUGUUACAGCAGCACAUAUGAACUUAAACAUAAUUCAACAAUGUAUAAAAAGAAUUACACGCUAUGACAAAGUGAGAUUUAUCCCAGGUAUGCAAGGCUGGUUUGACAGGAAAAUCAGUCACUAUAAUCCAUUACAUCAAUAGACUAACAAAGAAAAAUCAUAUCAAUGCAGAAAAAGUAUUUCACUCAAUAGAUGCAGAAAAAGUAUUUCACUCAAUAGAUGCAGAAAAAGUAUCUCACAAAAUCAAUCAUCCAUUCACCAUAAAAACUUGCAGCAAACUAGGAAUAGAGGGGAACAUCCUCAACUGGAUAAAGAAUAUUUGCAAAAAACCUACAACCAACAUCAUAAUUAAUGGUGAGAAACUAUAUGCUUUCCCCCUUGGAUCAGGAACAAGGAUGUCUCCUCUCACUACUCCUAUUCAACAUUGCACAGGAGGUUCUAGCUAAUACAAUAUGACAAGAAAAGGAAAGGCAUCCAGAUUGGGAAGGAGGAAAUAAAACUGUCUUUGUUCACAGAUGACAUAAUUAUUUAUAUAAAGAAAUUGCAAAGAACCAACAAAAAGUGAUCAUAAGAAGGUUGCAGAGACAGCAUCUCACAGUGUUGCCCAGACUGGAGAGCAGUGCACUGCAACCUCGAACUCCUGGGCUCAAGUGAUCCUUCUGCCUCAGCCUCCAGAGUAGCUGGGACUACAGAGAUGGUCAUAAAGAAAUUCCCUGACCUAUCUGGCUUGACAGUAGGUCAUAAGACCCCCAUUCCAGGAUCCUGUUCCAUACCUGAGAGGAAGAAAUGCUACAACAGAGACACCAAGAAGAACCUCAACAGACAGGUCUUGCUGGCUUCCUUCUCUCGGUCUACUACAUUAGAUCACACCCUUUGCCACAGUUGUACAUGACUGUCCACUCUUCAUUGCAUCUAAGCAUACAAAUGGACAGUUUUUCCUAUAUCUAUGGGUCUUCAUUUUGAAGGCUCCCAUGUCAUGUAAAACCAUGAUUAAAUAAACUUGUUACGCUCUUCUCUUGUUAACCGUCUCUUUUGUUAUAGAAGUGUCUGCUGCGACCCUUAUGAUGGG